AGCGUGCGAUUGGAUUGCACGUCUAAGCAGUAAGGCUGAGUAUUAGGCAAAUCCGGUACUCGUUAAGGCUGAGCUGUGAUGGGGAGAAGACAUUGUGUCUUCGAGUCGUUGAUUUCACACUGCCGAGAAAAGCCUCUAGAUAGAAAAUAGGUGCCCGUACCGCAAACCGACACAGGUAGUCAAGAUGAGAAUUCUAAGGUGAGCGAGCGAACUCUCGUUAAGGAACUCGGCAAAAUGACCCCGUAACUUCGGGAGAAGGGGUGCUCUUUAGGGUUAACGCCCAGAAGAGCCGCAGUGAAUAGGCCCAAGCGACUGUUUAUCAAAAACACAGGUCUCUGCUAAACCGUAAGGUGAUGUAUAGGGGCUGACGCCUGCCCGGUGCUGGAAGGUUAAGAGGAGUGGUUAGCUUCUGCGAAGCUACGAAUCGAAGCCCCAGUAAACGGCGGCCGUAACUAUAACGGUCCUAAGGUAGCGAAAUUCCUUGUCGGGUAAGUUCCGACCCGCACGAAAGGCGUAACGAUUUGGGCACUGUCUCAACGAGAGACUCGGUGAAAUCAUAGUACCUGUGAAGAUGCAGGUUACCCGCGACAGGACGGAAAGACCCCGUGGAGCUUUACUGUAGCCUGAUAUUGAAAUUCGGCACAGCUUGUACAGGAUAGGUAGGAGCCUUUGAAACGUGAGCGCUAGCUUACGUGGAGGCGCUGGUGGGAUACUACCCUAGCUGUGUUGGCUUUCUAACCCGCACCACUUAUCGUGGUGGGAGACAGUGUCAGGCGGGCAGUUUGACUGGGGCGGUCGCCUCCUAAAAGGUAACGGAGGCGCUCAAAGGUUCCCUCAGAAUGGUUGGAAAUCAUUCAUAGAGUGUAAAGGCAUAAGGGAGCUUGACUGCGAGACCUACAAGUCGAGCAGGGUCGAAAGACGGACUUAGUGAUCCGGUGGUUCCGCAUGGAAGGGCCAUCGCUCAACGGAUAAAAGCUACCCCGGGGAUAACAGGCUUAUCUCCCCCAAGAGUUCACAUCGACGGGGAGGUUUGGCACCUCGAUGUCGGCUCAUCGCAUCCUGGGGCUGUAGUCGGUCCCAAGGGUUGGGCUGUUCGCCCAUUAAAGCGGUACGCGAGCUGGGUUCAGAACGUCGUGAGACAGUUCGGUCCCUAUCCGUCGUGGGCGUAGGAAAUUUGAGAGGAGCUGUCCUUAGUACGAGAGGACCGGGAUGGACAUACCUCUGGUGUACCAGUUGUCGUGCCAACGGCAUAGCUGGGUAGCUAUGUGUGGACGGGAUAAGUGCUGAAAGCAUCUAAGCAUGAAGCCCCCCUCAAGAUGAGAUUUCCCAACUUCGGUUAUAAGAUCCCUCAAAGAUGAUGAGGUUAAUAGGUUCGAGGUGGAAGCAUGGUGACAUGUGGAGCUGACGAAUACUAAUCGAUCGAAGACUUAAUCAA
rnacentral:rRNA from 3 species